rnacentral:rRNA from 1 species
CAAAGUGGGGGACCUUCGGGCCUCAUGCCAUCAGAUGUGCCCAGAUGGGAUUAGCUAGUAGGUGGGGUAACGGCUCACCUAGGCGACGAUCCCUAGCUGGUCUGAGAGGAUGACCAGCCACACUGGAACUGAGACACGGUCCAGACUCCUACGGGAGGCAGCAGUGGGGAAUAUUGCACAAUGGGCGCAAGCCUGAUGCAGCCAUGCCGCGUGUGUGAAGAAGGCCUUCGGGUUGUAAAGCACUUUCAGCGGGGAGGAAGGCGGUGAGGUUAAUAACCUCACCGAUUGACGUUACCCGCAGAAGAAGCACCGGCUAACUCCGUGCCAGCAGCCGCGGUAAUACGGAGGGUGCAAGCGUUAAUCGGAAUUACUGGGCGUAAAGCGCACGCAGGCGGUCUGUCAAGUCGGAUGUGAAAUCCCCGGGCUCAACCUGGGAACUGCAUUCGAAACUGGCAGGCUAGAGUCUUGUAGAGGGGGGUAGAAUUCCAGGUGUAGCGGUGAAAUGCGUAGAGAUCUGGAGGAAUAC